rnacentral:rRNA from 1 species
CUGGUUGAUCCUGCCAGAGGUUACUGCUAUCGAGAUUCGACUAAGCCAUGCGAGUCGAAUGUUCUUCGUGAACAUGGCGAACUGCUCAGUAACACGUGGACAACCUGCCCUUAGGUUGGGUAUAAACCCGGGAAACUGGGUAUAAUACCCGAUAGGUCUCGAUUGCUGGAAUGCAUCGAGAUUUAAAGCUCCGGCGCCUAAGGAUGGGUCUGCGGCCUAUCAGGUAGUAGUGGGUGUAGCGUACCUACUAGCCUACGACGGGUACGGGUUGUGAGAGCAAGAGCCCGGAGAUGGAUUCUGAGACACGAAUCCAGGCCCUACGGGGUGCAGCAGGCGCGAAAACUUUACAAUGCUGGCAACAGCGAUAAGGGAACCUCGAGUGCCAGGUUACAAAUCUGGCUGUCGAGAUGCCUAAAAAGCAUUUCAUAGCAAGGGCCGGGCAAGACCGGUGCCAGCCGCCGCGGUAACACCGGCGGCUCGAGUGGUAACCGUUAUUAUUGGGUCUAAAGGGUCUGUAGCCGGCCGGAUAAGUCUCUUGAGAAAUCUGGCAGCUUAACUGUCAGGCUUUCAGGAGAUACUGUCUGGCUCGAGGCCGGGAGAGGUGAGAGGUACUUCAGGGGUAGGGGUGAAAUCUUGUAAUCCUUGAAGGACCACCAGUGGCGAAGGCGUCUCACCAGAACGGACCUGACGGCAAGGGACGAAAGCUAGGGGCACGAACCGGAUUAGAUACCCGGGUAGUCCUAGCCGUAAACGAUACUCGCUAGGUGUCGGCCACGGUGCGACCGUUGUCGGUGCCGUAGGGAAGCCGUGAAGCGAGCCACCUGGGAAGUACGGCCGCAAGGCUGAAACUUAAAGGAAUUGGCGGGGGAGCACCACAACGGGUGGAGCUUGCGGUUUAAUUGGAUUCAACGCCGGA